rnacentral:rRNA from 1 species
UGCAAGUCGAACGGAUCUACAUUUGAAGGGCAACUGGAUGAUGUAGGUUAGUGGCGGACGGGUGAGUAACACGUAGUUAACCUACCCUUAGGCGGGGGACAACCCCGUGAAAACGGGGCUAAUACCGCAUAAGACCACGGAUUGGGAUAUUUGUGGUAAAAGGAGCGAUUCACCUAGGGAUGGGACUGCGGCCUAUCAGGUAGUUGGUGGGGUAAGGGCCCACCAAGCCGAAGACGGGUAGCCGGUCUGAGAGGACGAACGGCCACACUGGGACUGAGACACGGUCCAGACUCCUACGGGAGGCAGCAGUGGGGAAUUUUGCACAAUGGGCGGAAGCCUGAUGCAGCGACGCCGCGUGGAGGAUGAAGGCCUUCGGGUUGUAAACUCCUUUUGCAGGGGACGAUGGUGACGGUACCCUGCGAAUAAGCCACGACUAACUCUGUGCCAGCAGCCGCGGUAAGACAGAGGUGGCAAGCGUUGUUCGGAAUUACUGGGCUUAAAGGGCGCGUAGGCGGUGGGACAAGUCUGAGGUGGAAUCCGGAGGCUUAACCUCCGAACUGCCUUGGAAACUGUACUGCUUGAGUUAGACAGGGGAAGGCGGAAUUCCUGGUGUAGCGGUGAAAUGCGUAGAUAUCAGGAGGAAGGCCUGUGGCGAAGGCGGCCUUCUGGGUCUUAACUGACGCUGAGGCGCGAAAGCGUG